rnacentral:misc_RNA from 1 species
AUUUUGUUUCGAAGGCAUGUUCUGAUUGGUUGAGGAAUUGUGGCAAGGAAAUAAUGAACAAGAUCAAUGGCAAAUACUUGAUCGAUGUUAUCAACUGUGGAAAAGAGCUUGCAUCUGCUGAGACAUUGGUGCGGGAAACUAUGGAAAAUAAGAAGGUAUUAGAAGGGAGUUUGGAGUGGCUUAAGAGUGUUUUUGGGUCUGAAAUUGAGUUGCCAUGGAAGAGAACACGUGAGCUUGUCUUGGGUGGUGAUUCGGACCUGUGGGAUGAGAUGUUCGAAGAUGCUUUUAUUAGAAGGAUGAAAGCAAUUAUUGAUAAAGGAUUUGAUGAGUUGAGUGGAUUGGUUGAUGUUGUAGCGUCAGCACGGGCCAUCUCAGGAACUCCUGGUGAGCAGGUCAGUUUUCAGGCAUACUUGAAUAGAUCUUUGAAUGGUGGAGGUGUUUGGUUCAUGGAACCAAAUGGUAAAAAAGUUACCACCAUUCCUGGUGCCAAGUCACAGCAGCCCGAGGAGAACGAUUUUCGGAGUUGUCUCAAUGCAUACUUCGGGGAUGAAGUCAGCAGGAUUAGAGAUGCUGUGGACAGCUGCUGUGAGAGUGUUCUAAAAGACCUGCUAAGCUUCCUGGAGUCUCCCAAGGCAUCCUUGAGACUGAAAGAUCUGGCCCCAUAUUUACAAAAUAAAUGUUACCAAAGUAUGUCAGCUAUACUAAUGGAACUGAAGAGUGAGUUGGAUGCUUUAUCUGAUAACCUUCAAAACAAAAACUCAAUGGACGAGUCAGUGCCAUCGCCAGCUAUACUUGUUGAGCGGUCAAUAUUUAUAGGGCGGCUUUUGUUUGCAUUCCAGAAGCAUUCCAGACACAUUCCUGUCAUACUUGGGUCACCAAGGUCAUGGUUGAGUGAAACUAGAGGGGCUGGCUCACUUAAGGCCCCAACUCUUGUAAGGUACUCUAUGCCAUCUGUUGACUCCCCAACCUCUGAUGGUCCUGGAAAUACAAUGUUUGAUUCACCCAGAAGACAAAGUUCAUUGGCUUCUGCUGCUUUGUUCGGAGUGGAUGACAGUUCAAGCCCACAGCUUGAAGAGCUAAGUAAAAUGACGCAAGAUCUUUGCAUCAGAGCUUAUAAUAUGUGGAUAUCUUGGGUUUCUGAUGAACUUUCAGUAAUCUUAUCCCAAAAUCUCAAACAGGAUGAUGCAUUGUUGGCAACAAUAACCUUGAGAGGCUGGGAGGAGACUGUUGUUAAGCAAGAUCAGUCAAAUGAAGGCGAGUCAGAGAU